AUUCUCCUUUUCACUUGAUACAGAUGUUUCUUCUGACAGAAGCUUAAACAAUGAACGAAGCAAACUAAAGAUACUGCAGAGAACUUCAUCAGGGAAAUGCAUUUUGAAUUCCUUCAUUACAAUGAGUUUAUGCAUGAAGUCCAGUCUCUGCCCCAGUGUAUAACAAUAGCACUCCAUGCUGAAGAUCACCACAAUCCAGUGUUCAAUUCAGAGGCAAUGUCAAAAUGAGUAACAAUCGAAGAGAAGCCAGCCUGGAAUGAUUUAAAGAGCCGGCUUUAUAAGAGAAUGAGUCAGGCUCUUGCUGCCGGACCACCAGAAUCAGGAUUCUAUCUCCUGGAGCAUGAGGGACUAUGUAAACGUAUGUAUAUGGAGAUACACUUGAGGGGCUAUUUUUGGUACCACCUUAAACUGAACUACUCUGAGAUGGCUUCCCAGUGCGCUGACUUGGAUCCUUGCAGUGCUGCCCUGAUGCUGUUUCUGUUGAACCCACGCAAGAGCUGGUCAUGUGGAGAGGGGAACAGCUGGGAAAAAAGAAAACAAGAGGCAUGAGCAGAGAAGUUAGCACUG